GUCGGUGUGGCUCAGUUGGUUAGAGCGUUGGUCUCAUACUUUAAAGUGUGACUCGGUUAAACACCUGGGUAAUCCAAAGGUCGAGAGUUCGAGCCUCUCCACCGACA
rfam:Fusarium poae strain 2516 chromosome FPOA_2 Chr2, whole genome shotgun sequence.